rnacentral:rRNA from 1 species
GACGAACCGUGCGAACGUUAUUCGGAAUCAUUGGGCUUAAAGGGCGCGUAGGCGGCGGCGUAAGUUGGAAGUGAAAUCCCAUCGGCUCAACCGUGGAAUCGCUCCCAGUACUGCGUCGCUCGAGGGGGAUAGGGGUCUGCGGAACUACCGGUGGAGCGGUGAAAUGUGUUGAUAUCGGUGGGAACGCCAGUGGCGAAAGCGGCAGACUUGACCCUUCCUGACGCUGAGACGCGAAAGCUAGGGUAGCAAACGGG